GACGAACGCUGGCGGCGUGCUUAACACAUGCAAGUCGAACGGAAAGGCCCUGCUUUUGUGGGGUGCUCGAGUGGCGAACGGGUGAGUAACACGUGAGUAACCUGCCCUUGACUUUGGGAUAACUUCAGGAAACUGGGGCGAAUACCGGAUAGGAGCUCCUGCUGCAUGGUGGGGGUUGGAAAGUUUCGGCGGUGGGGGAUGGACUCGCGGCUUAUCAGCUUGUUGGUGGGGUAGUGGCGUACCAAGGCUUUGACGGGUAGCCGGCCUGAGAGGGUGACCGGCCACAUUGGGACUGAGAUACGGCCCAGACUCCUACGGGAGGCAGCAGUGGGGAAUAUUGCACAAUGGGCGGAAGCCUGAUGCAGCAACGCCGCGUGCGGGAUGACGGCCUUCGGGUUGUAAACCGCUUUCGCCUGUGACGAAGCGUGAGUGACGGUAAUGGGUAAAGAAGCCCCGGCUAACUACGUG
rnacentral:rRNA from 1 species